rnacentral:rRNA from 1 species
UACGUAGGGGGCAAGCGUUGUCCGGAUUUAUUGGGCGUAAAGCGCGUGUAGGCGGCUUUGCAAGUCUGGUGUGAAAUCCCUCGGCUUAACCGAGGAAGUGCGCCAGAAACUGCAGAGCUUGAGUACCGGAGAGGAUGGUGGAAUUCCCCAAGUAGAGGUGAAAUUCGUAGAUAUGGGGAGGAACACCGGUGGCGAAGGCGACCAUCUGGACGGAUACUGACGCUGAGACGCGAAAGCGUGGGGAGCAAACAGG